UUCUAUAAAUGACGUAGCAGGAUCCUGGUCGGUUGUGUAAAAAGACUGUACACGCCUUGUCAGCUCACCAUUUCGCAUUUUAGCACGGACAUAUCAACAGCCACAGUUUCGUACUCAAAUCAUCAUGAAGGUUUUUAUCGCUCUCGUCUUAGUUAUUGGUGUAGCCUAUGCUGCUAAUGAAUGCCAUUUAAUAGAUUGUCAGAAUACAUACUCGAAUUCAAAAGAAGCCGAUUGCAUUGCUGUGGCCAAUUGGAAAGCAUGUGUAGAGCGACAGACACCGGAACAAGAUGGUUUAUGCACAUCUCUCACCAUUGCAGCUGCUAAAAAGGUGGUUUAUCUUGCCGAGAAAACAAAGGGAUGCAAUAGUGCCGUUGGAGUUUCUGCUUCAGUAUUUGGAAGUAUCAUCAUGGCCAUGAUUGCCUUAGUAUUCCGUUCAUAAAUUAUCUCACCACCUCCCCCUCUUCCUCCCCUAACUCCUUGUUAAUCUUCUUAGAGCCGAAUAUGAUAUUUCAUUUUUAUUAAUGAGGUUGAUUUGGAACUAAGUAGUAAAAACCAAUUUAAAUAGUCUCCCGCUGUAGCCCCUAUGCUAGUUUUCCUUUAGUUGUAAAUUUAGUAAAAUCUAAAUUCAAAUGUACUCAUAUUAUUAUUAUUUUUAUAAUUUGUAUAUUUGUAAACCUUUUCUUAAAUAUGUUAAUUAAAAGAACCUACUACUAUUAUAGUGGGUGUUAUAAAUUG